UCUUAAAUCUUUAUGAAAAUGAACUUUGCAUUAUUUGGUGGAAAUAGAUGAAAGCUUUGCAUCUUUUUUGGAAUUUAUUUGGGAGAAAUGUAGUCUGUAGUUUAUAGAAUAAAACAACAAUGUUCAUUUUACUCAAGCAUAAAACUAUAAAAAGCAAAAUCAGAGAAACUGAUUCAGAAACUGAACCUUGCAGAGCCCUCCUAUACCAUGCAGAGCUCCUGGGAAAUCUAUGGGUUAACACAAGCAGAAGCAUACAGAAAGCCGAAAACCUGUUGUCAAUUAAGGCAGUGGCACAUGGACUUUACUACAGGAUGCAGAAGAGCAGUCAGGACAGAGACUCUCUUCUCAGUCCCUGAUGCAGAGAUUAUGUAGAGUUUAUUUUUUAAUUGAUUAUACGGAUAAUUAUAAAUAUAAAACCAAAUUAGGGAUUAUGGUGUAACCCAGUUGUGGACUGCAAGGGGAGACUUUGGGACACCCAGGGAUUAAACACUGGUGAAAGCUGAAGAUCCAGAUGGCGUUCACGCUGCUUUUGAUCAUUACCUGCAUGGCAGGAAUGACUGGGAGCACCUCUGGGACCUGCAGGGGCCCUCACUGCCCAGGACGUCCUGUGGUCCCAUACACGAUUGUCCACCCUCAGCACGGCAGCAGUGUGCGGGAAAACCCUCGGACACUGACGGCAGAGGUGUUUGUGCCGCAGUGCACAGGGAGAGGGUGCCGCUCGCCUGCUAAUGCAACAGAGGGCUGCAGGGGCAUCGGGUGCAGGCUGCCCCCUCUUGGCAUGCGGGUCAAGCCGAGGCAAAGCCCGUGCCCCGGGGAGGGAUGCCCUGUAGGGGUAAGAGGCAGGAGCAGCCAAGGAAUGGUGGUAAAAGCUCAGGACAGAGUAGAGCAUGUGCUCCGGGAUUUUCCAGACCGUGAAGGAUCUCCAUUGGGAAUCCAGCUCACCUGUGAUGUAAAGCCAGGCUCCAACGAGGUGCCGUCUGAGGAUGCCCUGGUUCUACAGCUACGUGUGGCGAAGGGUCAGGAAAAGCUGGUGGAGGAGCUCCAGACCCAGCAGAGCGAGAUUAAACAGCUGCAGAGCAGACUGACGGAGCAACAGGGAACUCUCGUGGCCCAGCAGAAGGAAAUCCUCGAGCAGCAGCGACGGAUGUUUGAGCAGAUGGAUCAAGUCAAGACCCAGUACAACUUGCUCCUGGACAGCGUCAGACACAUGUCCCUCCAGGACCCACACAAAAUCCUCGAGGGCCACCUAGAGAACCUCAGGCCCCAGAUGAGGAGUCACGAGCAGGAAGCUUACACCAUGCACAAGGUGGACAUGGACGCCAGCGUAAUGGAGGUUGGAAGAUUUCUACCAGGCUGCGGGUCCUGUCGAGCUGAUGAGUACUGUGAUUUCAGUGGGGACUGGCCUCGCUGCGAGAAAUGCACUGUCUGUCUUCCGGGUUUCUUCCUGGUGUCCCAGUGUUCUAUUCACGCAGACAGGAUGUGUCAGGACAGAGACGAAUGCCUGGAGAUACAAAACCUUUGUGGAGCUCAGAAUCAGUGCCUCAAUACCCCAGGCGGAUUUAAGUGUACAGGGUUGUCGGUGAAAGACGCAGCAGACGGCGUGUGUGGCCACGCUUACUUCUACAAUUUGGAGUUGCAGGAGUGCCAGGCGUGUUCUGAGUGUGAUUCCCAGAGCGAGGUUUCCCCGUGCACAGCCAUGAGUGACACAGUGUGCACAAGUCCCUCUGAUACUGGCCUGUCCAUCGCUUGGUCUGGGGAUGUUGCUUUGGCUCCAGACGGCGAGUUUCCCAACAUGGAGCUUCACAUCCAGGGCAACAGUGACGGGAGCCUGGUUUCCAGCUCCAGCGGACAGUUGGUGUUCCAUCAGCACGGGCUUGUCUGGGUGGAUCAAAACCUUGCGUUGAGGCACGGCUGCAGGAGUUUUGUUCAGGUGUGCUUGAGGUUAAACGCGAGUGAAGAAGGUGGUCGGGAUUUGAGCGGAAUUCGCGUGGAACAGAGGGAAGGCAAGUCUCUUCAGAGCAUCAGUUUGAGUGCGGCGUCCACCGUGGAGCCGGGUCAGGUGCUGUCUCUGUUUCUGAAGAGCGCCAGCCACCACUGCAACCCUGACAAUGAGAAGGUUCACCUGGAGACCAGCCUGGUGUCGCCCUUUAGCUUGCUCUGGCUCUCCCAUGACACGGGUGCCGUGGCUAUGACAGCUCAAGCGGUCGCCUCGGCACACUUCCAUACCAAUUACCGCCCCACCUUCCGCACCUCUUCCAUCUCUGACCCUUAUAUAGUAAGUCUGACUCACGACAGUCGUGGGGUGCGCUUUACAGAGAGAGGCACUGUGAAAUUUGUCCUCCAGCAGGCUGUGUACUCCAUGGGUCAAGCCUGUGUCUCCGAGGGCUUCUACUUGUCGGCGUUCGUCAACCACAAUGGAAGCAGUGUGGAGCUGACUCGUGUCUUUAAACCUGGUGUUCACUACCGAGACUCAUCCAUAACCCUGUCUUCUGCCGCCCCUGUAGACGCCGGGGACACCCUCAGCUUUGAAAUCCAAGCACCGGCUCAGUGCAACGUCCGCUACUUUGGUGACGACUCUGGAAUUAGCAUGCUCAGUCUCGUGUGGAUCCCUUCCGUCGUAUCAUCCUCUAUAUCAGCCACCAUCUCCAGCAAGGGUCUACCCUUUGGCGCAGUGCGGAAUAAAGCCCUGCUCUUCCGCCAGACAUCCCCGUCAGUGGCACAAGUGGACCUAGCCGGAGCCGGGCACCAUCACCCACACCGAAACUUUAUCUUCAAGGAGGCCGGCACAGCUAGUGUGGCCCUUGACCUGAGGUUGAUCCACUCCUGCAGUCUGAUCAAGCUCAGCUUACUCAAGCAAGCGAAGCACCAGGGAGCGCAGUCCACGGCCCUUGCCCAGCAGGCUGGAGGUCAGAUGCCUGAAGGGAGUGAGUGGGCCACUGUAGGCCUCAGGGUAUCGUUCCCGGUGAAUAACGGCACAGAAGUGUUUGCCACGGUGGACUGUGUGCGCGGACGUCUCAACCAGAUUGCUCAUGAUGUCGGAAGUAGCAUUAGCAUACUCUGGACUGCUGCUUGAAUUGCUUUUUUUUUUUUUUUUAGAAAUGUGGCCGAGCUUUAGUUAUAUUAGCACACAUCGAUUGUAUUAGCCUUUAUAUAAAAUGAGAGAUAAAGAGAUUAAGUCUAGUCUUGGUCUAUACAGCAUUUUAAAUUAAGAUUAUCCUUUAAAAGAAACUUAAACCUUGUCUAUGUCUACGCUCUAUGCUUAUUUUUUGUUGGAAAACCAACCCUAAAUGUAAUUGCUGUAGUAUUAAGUAACCAGUUAUUGUGUUAUGUCUCUAGCAUCUAUAUAUUUUUUUCCAUGUACAACUCUAAACACAUGUGUAGGUUCACUGGUGGGAUAGUUGGGAUAGUACUGUAUUUUUUGCACUAUAAGGUGCACCAGAUCAGUGAACAUAUAUUUUCUGGUCUAUUUUCAUACAUUUUGUGCACUGGAUUAUAAGGUGCAUUAUGUAUAAUAGUAAAGAACAGGGGUUUUGCCAUAUUUUCCUUCAAACAUUUUCUUUUAAAGUCAAAUGAGUGCUGAAACUGUUAUUUACAGUAAGCUUAGAUUACCAGAUUUCCACUAAGGCUGGGUGCAGCAGCGUUAGCAUUAGCAACUAUUCGCUCGACAGGAUUAGCAUUAGCAACUUGCUGUUUGACAGCACUAUUCUGAGGAACCCUGAGUGUUUUGGAAAGCCAGGGCAAUAUUAGCUAGUGUUUCGUCCCACAUAACUUGUUUUAACAUGGUAAACAUGCAGCCUACAGUCCGAUAUAUUCGCCUCUAAAUAGCCAAAGAGCUAGCGCUUCGUUUAGCAGAUAAUGCUAAUACUGCUCCAGCCUCGGUGCUGGAGAAGCUUCACUUGGUGUAGUUUCCUCUCUUAUUCAGGUAGUUAGCAAUGCUGUAUGAGUUGCCAUAUUAAUACUACUCUUUACAUAUAAUUUAUUUAGUGAUGCUUAUUUAGUGAUGCUUAUUUAGUGAUGCUUAUUUAGUGAAGCUGGUUUAUGUUUUAUGUAAUAUAAACACAAAAAUUACAGGGGUUAGAGGCCUCAUGAUCAAAAAAAUUAUGUUUAUAUCUUAGACCUAUUAAAUAAAGACCUUUU
rnacentral:lncRNA from 1 species